ACGACGUUCGUUUAACGACGGUGCAUGAAACAUCAUUUUCUCACUUGGAAAAUGAACACUUUUGGAAAAGAUUGUAAUAGUUGAAUGACAAGUUGAGCUCAUGUACAUGUAUUUUGAAUAGCUCCUUGAGGGUGAAACCCUAAGUGUUUUGUUUCCUCCAAUGUUUGGUUUGUAAUUGGUUAUUGUACAUGUAUGGAUUAGUUGGAUAUUUUGGUAUGCCGAUUUGGCUUGGAAUGUUGGAUUUCAAUGUAUAUAUGCUUGGUUGAUGUUUGGCUGAACUUUGAAUCGAUUUGGAUUUCAAACG